GGCAAAAUAGGAGAGAGAGGCCAUUAAGCUCUCCUUUUGAACUUUAAUUUGAGGCCCUCUUGUUUCACAAACCAACCCGCCUGUAUAUUCAAUUCUGCUUUGGGGUCCUCCAACUCGAAAUUGAAGUGACGAACAAAUUCUGUAACAAGCUUCCGCAUCUCUAAAAGGCUGAUGUGCUUUCCAAUACACACACGGGGACCGGCGCCAAACUUGAGAUCGAAUUGGAUUUUAGUAAAAGAACACGUUACUUCACCAAAAGCAAUAAGAGUCGAAAAUCACCUACCGCGAACAUAUUUCUGUUCCUGUCGGCUAACUCUUCCGGGUCACCUUCAAGCCAGCGCUCGGGUCGGAAAACACCGACAUCCAUGCCAAACACUUGUUUGUUAUAAUUUAUGACCCACGAGUUGACACCAACAACGGUUCCCUUUGGCAAGUAUGUGCCGCCUAGUGUGAGUCCACCUUCCGGGACGACACGUUCCAAUAUAAAUCCUGUCGGAGGGUGAAUGCGCAUGGCUUCAUUGAUUACAGCCCCACUACCAGAAUGAAUAAGUCAGCUGUUGAUACUACCUGUUUUCGCUAGACGCGCACGGCGAACCUACAGAAUACGGCCCUCAAGGUAAUUGCCGUCGUAUCAGAACCGGCAAGACUAGUAUCCGUCAUCACUCUGUCGGUAGACUGCUUUGACUGGGGUAAUGCUCACAUAUUGGUAGUUGUAAUGGCAACAAUCUCCCGAGACGAUAGUUUUGAAGGAGACGAGUCGUGAACCUCGAAUAAAGAUGCAAGUAUGUCUUUUCGAUCAACCGGAUUUUGUCUGCGUUCCUUAACCAUGGCAAUAGCGAACUUUUUGAGUGGCACUUUCAGCCAUCACACCUAAUACCAAAACAAAAGCA
rnacentral:sRNA from 1 species